ensembl:snRNA U6 U6 spliceosomal RNA
GUGUUUGCUUCAGUAGCACAUAUACUAAAAUUGGAACGAUACAGAAAAGAUUAGCAUGGCCCCUGCACAAGGAUGACACACAAAUUCGUGAAGUGUUCCGUAUUUUA